rnacentral:rRNA from 1 species
CCUACGGGCGGCAGCAGUGAGGAAUAUUGGUCAAUGGGCGCGAGCCUGAACCAGCCAAGUAGCGUGAAGGAUGACUGCCCUACGGGUUUUAAACUUCUUUUAUAAAGGAAUAAAGUGAGGCACGUGUGCCUUUUUGUAUGUACUUUAUGAGUAAGGAUCGGCUAACUCCAGGCCAGCAGCCGCGGUAAUACGGAGGAGCCGAGCGUUAUCCGGAUUUGUUGGGUUUAAAGGGAACGGAGAUGGGUUGUUAAGUCAGAUGUGAAAGUUUGCGGCUCAACCGUAAAAUUGCAAUUGAUACUGGCAGCCUUGAGUACAGUAGAGGUAGGCGGAAUUCGUGGUGUAGCGGUGAAAUGCUUAGAGAUCUGGAAGAACUCCGAUUGCGAAGGCGGCCUACUAGACAGCGACUGACAUUGAGGCGCGAAAGUGUGGGUAUCAAACAGGAUUAGAUACCCCUGUAGUC